GAUGAACGCUGGCGGCGUGCCUAAUACAUGCAAGUCGAACGCGAGAGGAGGGAGCUUGCUCCCUCUGAUCGAGUGGCGGACGGGUGAGUAACACGUAGGCAACCUGCCCAUCAGCCGGGGAUAACUGCGGGAAACCGUGGCUCAUACCGGAUAAUCCUCUCCACCGCGGGGUGGGGAGUUGAAAGACGGUUUCGGCUGUCGCUGAUGGAUGGGCCUGCGGCGCAUUAGCUGGUUGGCGGGGUAACGGCCCACCAAGGCAACGAUGCGUAGCCGACCUGAGAGGGUGAUCGGCCACACUGGGACUGAGACACGGCCCAGACUCCUACGGGAGGCAGCAGUAGGGAAUCUUCCGCAAUGGACGAAAGUCUGACGGAGCAACGCCGCGUGAGUGAUGAAGGCUUUCGGGUCGUAAAACUCUGUUGUUAGGGAAGAACAAGUGCUAGUUGAUUAAGCUGACACCUUGACGGUACCUAACCAGAAAGCCACGGCUAACUACGUGCCAGCCGCCGCAGUAA
rnacentral:rRNA from 1 species